rnacentral:rRNA from 1 species
CCACGGGUGAGUAACACGUAUGCAAUCCACCUGUAACAGGGGGAGUAACCCGGAGAAAUCCGGACUAAUACCCCAUAAUAUGGGCGCUCCGCAUGGAGAGCCCAUUAAAGAGAGCAAUUUUGGUUACAGACGAGCAUGCGCUCCAUUAGCCAGUUGGCGAGGUAACGGCCCACCAAAGCGACGAUGGAUAGGGGUUCUGAGAGGAAGGUCCCCCACAUUGGAACUGAGACACGGUCCAA